GUUGGGUAGGGGAGCGUUCUGUAAGCCUGCGAAGGUGGCCUGUGAGGGUUGCUGGAGGUAUCAGAAGUGCGAAUGCUGACAUAAGUAACGAUAAAGCGGGUGAAAAGCCCGCUCGCCGGAAGACCAAGGGUUCCUGUCCAACGUUAAUCGGGGCAGGGUGAGUCGACCCCUAAGGCGAGGCCGAAAGGCGUAGUCGAUGGGAAACAGGUUAAUAUUCCUGUACUUGGUGUUACUGCGAAGGGGGGACGGAGAAGGCUAUGUUGGCCGGGCGACGGUUGUCCCGGUUUAAGCGUGUAGGUGUGUGUUCCAGGUAAAUCCGGUUCACUUUAACACUGAGGCGUGAUGACGAGGCACUACGGUGCUGAAGCAACAAAUGCCCUGCUUCCAGGAAAAGCCUCUAAGCAUCAGGUAACA
rnacentral:rRNA from 1 species